ACUCAAACAAACAAUGAUCCCAUCAAAGAUGUUCCAACCUCGCUGGAAAUAAUAGUAUGGAUCCAGAGCCAAGAUCUUCAGCAACAUCUCAGCUGUGAAGAUUCCUGUGAACACCUGGUUUCCAACGCUAAGCAUGCUGUUGAAUUCUUCAGUCAUGGGGUAAUGCUCCAGUGCCAUGAACAAUGUGUUGAGCACAAUGCAAGUGGUAAUAGCUAAAUCAAGGAUGGGAUCCAUCACCAUGACUUUAACCCCCUCCUUCAGUCUCAGCCAGGCUGGAGAACACCCCCAGAUCAAAUACUUUUUUGCAAAUUCAUACCAGGAUGGAGGACAUUUCUGACGGGCUUCUUCGAGCUCUAAGAGGACCAGAAAGAUAAAGAUUAUUAGAUGAGUAACUAUGAAUCUAUCAUAACAUAAAAGUAGAUGACUAAAAACUUUAAUGUCUGUUAUUUUAAAAAGGUUAUCUAGACAGAAAUCAGAUUUAAUUGAGUUUGCAGCAUCCCACAUCAGAUGCUUUUCAGAACAGACAUCUCACCAUCCAUAGCAUCACUGAAGAAGCUAAUGGAGCUCAGCCCUCUCUUCCUGUGAGGGGGUGGGGCUUCCUCAUGCAAAUUAACCGUCUGUUUGGUAGCAGUGCUUUGUUCUUUAUGACACACUUGCUCCUGUCCAUCAAAAUGAACGACAUAGCCAUUAACACAUCUGUCUUUUUUUAAAGCCCAAAGAACUGCCCUGUCUAAAUACUCUACGUAAAGAGCAAGAACAUCAGUCUAAGAACUUUUGCAAUAUCAAACAUGUAGACAUUAAGCCAUAUGCCUCACUGACCAUGUCCUCUUUGACCUUGUCCAUGCUCAUGGCAGGCAGUAAGGUUGGGGUGUGCGGCCCAACACCCGUGACGCCAUUCUGGUCCAGAGAAACGUUCAGUCUACCAUUAAGGGUAAGGAGGGGCGUCAGCACCUGCGACGAGUGACUUCUGAUGCUGCCUGUACGACGCUUCUGCCAUGGUGUUGCCAUGGAGCCCGCCCGGCUCCGCCCAUCAUCGUGGACACUGCGCUCAUCGUCUGCAAAGUCGGCCUCGGAGUUGUUGCGUGGCCGGAAGGUGAAGAUGCUGAUUUGGCUUCCUCGACGAGUGCUCAGAGGAUGUGAGGAGAGCGUCGCCAAGAAAGGAGGAAAAACUUGGAACAGCAUAAGGGGGAGUAAAUGCCGACAUAUUUUUUGGGCCAAACGGUCCUUAAUCUUUCUGUUAGCAGGAUAAUCUAGCGAAACUAAAAGUCCAUACUUACGCCAUGACAAUAACAGUGAAAUCCAGCCAGUUCCAGGGGUCUCGGAGAAAUGUGAAGGACUCUAGACAGAAACCUCUGGCCAAGUUCUUAAUGACAGACUCAAAGGUGUAAAUGCCGGUGAAUGUAUACCUAAAUAAAUACAAGAAAAAA